rnacentral:misc_RNA from 1 species
AAAAAUACAUAAACAUUAGCAUUAUGUUUCACUCUGUUAUUACUUUUUCCUCUAUUUUUCUUUCUUAUGUGAUUGGGGUGGCAAUGGCAGCCAUGUAAAGAAACUGCAUCCUAGAGAGAUAUGGAAUGGAAUCAUUUUUUCCCAGCAGAAAAUCAACUCAUGACAGACGAAUGAGGAAGUCGUUUGGUAGUCAGUCAGUCAUCCAGCGCGCUUGAAAUUAUCUCCAUAGUAAUAUGCUGAACCAACCAUCAGCGCGACUGUACCACCUUGAACAAGAACUCUAGCUCUCAUUAGUUGCUGACCUAAUUGAGAAUUUCCCCGCUUGAAACUAAUGAGUCCGGCAGUGAGCACUCCUGCAGUGAGAAAUGCACCGAUCGGAACAAGACGAUUCCGAUGACGCUUGUUAUCCUGAAAAAUUGAAUCCAAUUCUGAAUCAGUCGAUCCCAUAAUUUUCUCCGUUUUUGUUUUCGUUCUUCUUCUCUUCUCUUUGCGUAACUGUUUUUUCUUUUAUUUUUCAGUCGAAAU